rnacentral:rRNA from 1 species
GACGAACGCUGGCGGCGUGCUUAACACAUGCAAGUCGAACGGAAAGGCCCUGCUUUUGUGGGGUGCUCGAGUGGCGAACGGGUGAGUAACACGUGAGUAACCUGCCCUUGACUUUGGGAUAACUUCAGGAAACUGGGGCUAAUACCGGAUAGGAGCUCCUACUGCAUGGUGGGGGUUGGAAAGUUUCGGCGGUUGGGGAUGGACUCGCGGCUUAUCAGCUUGUUGGUGGGGUAGUGGCUUACCAAGGCUUUGACGGGUAGCCGGCCUGAGAGGGUGACCGGCAGAUGGGGGAUUGAGCGAGGCCCGAGACGCGUCGGGGGGGCAGAGGGGGGAAGUUUGACAAAGGGGGCGGAGGCCGGAGGCCCCAGCCCCGGGUGGGGGAGGAGGCCCUUGGGUUUGAAAACCGCUUGCGCCUGGGACGAAGGGGGAGUGACGGUAAGGGGUAAAGAACCCCCGGCUAACUAGGUG